rnacentral:rRNA from 1 species
GAUGAACGCUAGCGAUAGGCUUAACACAUGCAAGUCGAGGGGCAGCGAGGGUAGCAAUACCUGUCGGCGACCGGCGCACGGGUGAGUAACGCGUAUGUAACCUGCCCGCAACAGGGGGAUAACCCGGCGAAAGUCGGACUAAUACCGCAUAAAACAGGGGUCCCGCAUGGGAAUAUUUGUUAAAGAUUUAUCGGUUGCGGAUGGGCAUGCGUACCAUUAGGUAGUUGGUGAGGUAACGGCUCACCAAGCCUUCGAUGGUUAGGGGUUCUGAGAGGAAGGUCCCCCACACUGGUACUGAGACACGGACCAGACUCCUACGGGAGGCAGCAGUGAGGAAUAUUGGUCAAUGGGCGAGAGCCUGAACCAGCCAAGUCGCGUGAAGGAUGACUGCCCUAUGGGUUGUAAACUUCUUUUACAAGGGAAUAAAAUGAGAUACGUGUAUUUUAUUGCAUGUACCUUGGGAAUAAGCAUCAGCUAACUCCGUG